GACGAACGCUGGCGGCGUGCUUAACACAUGCAAGUCGAACGGAAAGGCCCUGCUUUUGUGGGGUGCUCGAGUGGCGAACGGGUGAGUAACACGUGAGUAACCUGCCCUUGACUUUGGGAUAACUUCAGGAAACUGGGGCUAAUACCGGAUAGGAGCUCCUGCUGCAUGGUGGGGGUUGGAAAGUUUAGGCGGUUGGGGAUGGACUCGCGGCUUAUCAGCUUGUUGGUUGGGUAGUGGCUUACCAAGGCUUUGGCGGCUAGCCGGCCUGAGAGGGUGAACGGCCACAUUGGGACUGAGAGACGGCCCAGACGCCUACGGGAGGCAGCAGGGGGGAAUAUUGCACAAUGGGCGGAAGCGUGAUGCAGCAACGCCGCGUGCGGGAUGCCGGCCUUCGGGUUGUAAACCGCUUUAGCCUGUGACGAAGCGUGAGUGACGGUAAUGGGUAAAGAAGCACCGGCUAACUACGUG
rnacentral:rRNA from 1 species